UACGGAGGGGGCGAGCGUUAUUCGGAAUUAUUGGGCGUAAAGGGCGCGUAGGCGGCCUUCUAAGUCAGACGUGAAAUCCCCAGGCUUAACUUGGGAACUGCGUCUGAUACUGGGAGGCUUGAGUGCGGGAGAGGGAUGUGGAAUUCCAGGUGUAGCGGUGAAAUGCGUAGAUAUUCGCAAGAACACCAGUGGCGAAGGCGGCUCACUGGCCCGGUACUGACGCUGAGGUGCGAAAGGCGUGGGGAGCAAACAGG
rnacentral:rRNA from 1 species